AAGAUUUUAUCUUAAUAAAAGUAUUUGAUUUGCAUUCAGAAGAUGAAGGUUAGUUACCUUCAAGUCUUA
rnacentral:tRNA from 1 species